rnacentral:misc_RNA from 1 species
GAUGAAGAACGCAGCGAAAUGCGAUAAGUAGUGUGAAUUGCAGAAUUCAGUGAAUCAUCGAAUCUUUGAACGCACAUUGCGCCCCUUGGUAUUCCAUGGGGCAUGCCUGUUCGAGCGUCAUUUGUACCUUCAAGCUUUGCUUGGUGUUGGGUGUUUGUCUCGCCUUUGCGUGUAGACUCGCCUUAAAAUAAUUGGCAGCCGGCGUAUUGAUUUCGGAGCGCAGUACAUCUCGCGCUUUGCACUCAUAACGACAGCGUCCAAAAGUACAUUUUACACUCUUGACCUCGGAUCAGGUAGGGAUACCCGCUGAACUUAAGCAUUUCAAUAAGCGGAGGA